rnacentral:rRNA from 1 species
UACGAAGGGUGCAAGCGUUACUCGGAAUUACUGGGCGUAAAGCGUGCGUAGGUGGUUGUUUAAGUCUGUCGUGAAAGCCCUGGGCUCAACCUGGGAAUUGCAGUGGAUACUGGGCGACUAGAGUGUGGUAGAGGGUAGUGGAAUUCCCGGUGUAGCAGUGAAAUGCGUAGAGAUCGGGAGGAACAUCCAUGGCGAAGGCAGCUACCUGGACCAACACUGACACUGAGGCACGAAAGCUAGGGGAGCAAACAGG